rnacentral:rRNA from 1 species
CGGCGUACGGGUGCGGAACACGUGUGCAACUUGCCUUUAUCUGGGGGAUAGCCUUUCGAAAGGAAGAUUAAUACCCCAUAAUAUGUUGAAUGGCAUCAUUCGACAUUGAAAACUCCGGUGGAUAGAGAUGGGCACGCGCAAGAUUAGAUAGUUGGUGAGGUAACGGCUCACCAAGUCUACGAUCUUUAGGGGGCCUGAGAGGGUGAUCCCCCAACUGGUACUGAGACACGGACCAGACUCCUACGGGAGGCAGCAGUGAGGAAUAUUGGACAAUGGGUGAGAGCCUGAUCCAGCCAUCCCGCGUGAAGGACGACUGCCCUAUGGGUUGUAAACUUCUUUUGUAUAGGGAUAAACCUACCCUCGUGAGGGUAGCUGAAGGUACUAUACGAAUAAGCACCGGCUAACUCCGUGCCAGCAGCCGCGGUAAUACGGAGGGUGCAAGCGUUAUCCGGAUUUAUUGGGUUUAAAGGGUCCGUAGGCGGAUCUGUAAGUCAGUGGUGAAAUCUCACAGCUUAACUGUGAAACUGCCAUUGAUACUGCAGGUCUUGAGUGUGUUGAAGUAGCUGGAAUAAGUAGUGUAGCGGUGAAAUGCAUAGAUAU